AUCUUUAGUGCCAGUCAGGACAGACUUUGUAGUGUCCAGGCCCCCCUGGACGGCCCCUUUGGCCACUUUCGCAGCACCGGUCACCCCACUGCCAAGGGUGUUCUUUGUACCUGUCGCGAUAUUUUGGGUCGUUUUCAGCCCAGUUUGCACAGCCCCCUUGGCCACGUUCACGGCACUGGUGACCCCACUGUAGAUGGUGUCCUUGGUACCGGUUAGGACAGUUUUGGUGGUGUCCAUGCCUGUCUGGACGGUCCCUUUGGCGACGUUCACAGCCCCUGUGAGCCCAGUGGACACAGCAUCUUUAGUGCCAGUCAGGACAGA
rnacentral:lncRNA from 1 species